AUAACAGCAUUUCUUCUAAACUAAAUCUCUUUUGUUUAAUUGAUAUUAAAUACUUGACAUUUUUUUUAAAGUAGUCAUUUAUGUUCGUUUUCAACCUAGAUAAGAAAAUGUGCAAUUCAAAAGUUCUUUGCGCACACACACACAUAUAUAUAUAUAUAACAGCAUUUCUUCUAUACUAAAUCUCUUUUGUUUAAUUGAUAUUAAAUACUUGACAUUUUUUUUUAAAGUAGUCAUUUAUGUUCGUACUUGUUUGUGAUCACAAUUUGACACGUAAUUUCUUUAAUAAAUUAUUUCUAUAUCUAUGUCAAACUAUGACUUACCGUAAUGUGGGGAGGGGCCAAACUGAGUUUUAGUUGGAUAACUUGGCUUAAUCAAAGAGAACGCUUACAAAUGGCACUUUGCCAUAUAACUACCAUUUUUGGCAUAGAACUAAUGAACAUGUACUAUAGUAAUUUUAAUGAUUUUAUCCAUAGACAAUCCCUAAAUUCUAGUGCUGACAGGGCAACAAAAGUUCAAGUCUCAGGGGAAGGGAGGCAAUCUCUCUAUCCCAAUGUGCUGACAUAUCUUAUUAAUGAAAGGAGAUUCGCAGUUCUUACCUUUUAGCUUUUUUUUAGAAGGGUUCUCUGUCCCCAACCUCCACACCCCUCUUCUGUAUGUUCUUUAUCAAGAAGGGUUCGGAUCUAUGUUCUCUUCUUUUUUUUUUUUUUUUUUAUUGUUUUUUUUUUUUGGUAUUUCUAGCUUUAUAAAGAGUAAGGUUUACGUUCCUGGCAAGUAUACUUAUGUCAUAAGCUUAAAAAAAUUGCAAAGCACAUUGGAUGUCAUAAGCUUGACAAUACUUCACGUAAUAUUCUGGUUUUGGGCUUAAAGUAUUCUCACAGGUCCAAACACCAUUUUCAUCACCCAGUUUCCCUACAAUUUCCUCACUUGACCUGCAAGUAUAACUAAUAAAAACUGACGCAUUCACCCACCCACACAUUUUGAUCAAUUUCCCCUCAAUUUCUUCCUUGACCUCGACUUCCUCUCCAUCCUGGUUACGCAAAUAAUUAGAAACAUACAGUUUUAGAUUGGGACACAAAAACCAAAAACCCAUAUCACUCAGCAGUAGAUUCUUUUGAGAACUUAUUUAAUAAUUUUAAUUUUGUAUUGACCGAAAACAAACUUACCUGGUAGAAGAAUGAUAGACUAAUUGAGAGAUCUGAAUACAUAUUUAACAGGGAAAGUGGGUGAAAAGAGCGAACCGGAAAAAGGGUAAGUUGCCCUUUUACCACAGUGGUGGAAAAGAGUUGAGCUAUUACAUGACGGUAAGGAGUUGAGCUCUUACCUGACGGUGUGGGUUCAAACCAUAUUGGUGGUUAAUCUAACAUCUAAUCUAGCAAAAACUAUUGUUUGACCCCAAAAAAAAAAGAAAAAGAAAAAGAAAAGGAGUUUGAGAAGAAAGAGGUCGAAUACGUAAGCUGAUAAAUGUGGAUACACACACACACACACAUACACACAUAUAUGUCAAAUGCGAUUAUUUGUACGCACAGGAGAAAUUAGAUUUUCAUUCUUUUUUUCAUUGAUUAAAAUCUUAUUCUUUUUCAACUUUUGAUCAAGGUUCUUAGGUUUUAAUGAACGUCAUUAUUUCAACAAUAAAAUAUUUACAUGUCAAGAUAAUUAAAUUUUAUUACUAAAUAUAUUCAUUUAGUGUUAGAAACGGUACCGUUUGGUAUAUUUAUAUUUAGGGCUAAACUUUGUAUCAUAUAUUUCUAUUUUUAGUUUGCACCCAUUUUUAAUUUGUACUAAUUUUCUUUAUAGUUUUAAUUUGUACCCAUAUAUUAAUUUUUUUUGUUCCCAUAUUUUUUUUAAAUUUUUAUCUGUACUGAUAAUUUUUUCACCCUUUAUUUGCAUCCAUUUUAUUUAUAAUGUAUCCAUAUUUUGACACACCCCGACCCAGAAUGUCUACUAGGACUCCGAAUCGAGCUGUGCUGGCCGACACCUGGAAGGUGACGAAGCCAUAAAGUGUGAUGAUGUGGAAAAAUGUGAAUAAAUUUAAAUCUAAGAGUGCCUAAAUACCAGAGUGCACCGGUGAGCGGGAAUGAACACACUUCACACGUGACGUUAAAGCAUAAGCAAGUACAGAAGAGUGAAUUAAGAAUCAUACCCUCGAAAUAAUCUCCAAUACUAAGAAUAACCAUGAAUCUUCGACGAUAAGAAAGCUCAGCUAAUAAGACCUGGAGGGUGAAGACAAAAUAAAGGUGAGUGGCCCUGUAAAUAAAAUUUUAAUAGAACCCAUAUAAAACAUUAUAAUCCCUCGCUACAGCAGCUGUAUAAUUUCCAGAAAAUAUCAUAAAUAUACCACAAUACAGCCUCUCGUCAGUAAUAUCAAAUAAUCAUGUGAUUAAUAACUCAUACUAGUAAGCAAGUCGAAGUCACCUAUGGUGACCUGUACGACUUACCCAUAUCUCAUCACAUAUACUAGUUCAUCACAUAUUUCAUCACAUAUGCUAGCUUAUCGCAUAUUCAUCACAUAUGCUAGCUCAUCACAUAUUCAUCACAUAUGCUAGCUCAUCACAUAUUCAUCACAUAUGCUAGCUUAUAAGUUGGGGUCACCUCUAGUGACUUAUACAACUUAUCCAUAUCUCCUCAUAUAUCUCAUUAAUCAUUGCUAGCAUAUAAGUCGGAGUCACCUAUAAUGACCUUUACAACAUAUUUAUAUCUCAUCGCAUAUGCAAAUGAUAUGCCAGCCGGAUCCACCACUUGUGACCUGUACGGCUAAGUCUACAGCUCAUAUCUUAAUUUAGCAUGAGUCACCUCUAGUGACCUAUACGGCACUACGUCUGCACACGAGUCAGAACCACUGUAGUGGUUUAUAUGACAGGACUGGGUGUAAAUGAAUACGCUCAAGUGCUAUGAUCACGUGAAUAGUCACCUAUGAAUCGGAACCACCUAUAGUGGUCUGUACGACAAGCAUGUGCACCUACCUUGAAUUCAAGGUGAGCGUAUGGUGCGAGAGGUGAACAUUACGUGAAAGAUUGUGCCCUGGCCACGGGUGGAAGCACUAACACCGGGGUGCAGGUUUAUGAGCUUUAAAUACAUCUAAUACAACAUGUACGAUUCAUAAGCAACCUGUACGACAAUGCUAGAGUUGCCUACUAUUGCAACAUGUACGAUAGUGUCGGAGUUGCUUAAAACAUGAAUGUAGUCAUACCAUAACCCCAUCAGUUCAACUAAUACCGUAUACUUACCUGAACUUACCUAUGUGUCCUGCAUUCACCUUUGCACUUCAGAGCGUUCACAAUAAUUAUGUGCAAGGAAUAUACAGAUGGAAAUAUUAGGAUGUAAGUCUGAAAUUCAACAUAUCAUAAUAUCUCCAAUUAUAUACAUGUACAUAAGAUGGAGAAAUAUGCAUAAUCUGUAACGUCCCACUCCCGAACUACUUGUUUUCGGGAAUAAUUAUCGGUGAUAAGCCCAACUAAACACUAGUUAAAUUAACUAUCAUUACUUAUAUUUCCUUACUUCAAUUUCUUGAUUCUUCAUAUAUUGAUUUAUGACCAACGUUUAACCACCAAAUCAUAAUGUUACAUCUCACAUUUUCCACUAAUCUUCUUCACCUU
rnacentral:lncRNA from 1 species